UAACAGAACAGAGUGAGGGGCGAGGGGCGAGGGGCUGCAAAUCAGCGCAGACGCGACCCACUGCUAGCAACGACGACCCACGGCGAGCGACGACGAUCUUGGGCGACGGCUAACACGACUUUGGCGGUGGCUAACGGUGAUCGCGAGCGACGACGCCAAAUUGAGAACUGAGUGCGAGUUCUUGGAAUCGCAGUAGGCGAAGGAAGAAGAUGAGCUUCGUGAGUGAGCUAAAUUACAAAACCCUAAUCUGUGAUGGUAACAUUUUUGCCAUUGAUUUCUGUGACCUCACCAUCAAUCCAUGCAUCCUCAGGAUCCUCAACCCAAACCUGUGAUCCAACGAUGAUGUUCACAGGCGUUCCCUGAACCAAUCAUAACAAGGCAUGAAAAGUGUUAACAGACAUGAUCUGACACCAGAAAAGUUGAGAGGUGAUCAGCAACACAGAGAGAACAAAUUUUCUUGUUCAGAUUCUCACCAUGAUGUGCUAAACUCUUCUGAUCAUGAAAAUCAGAAUGGUGGCUUGUGGAACAAGACCAAUAUGAAUGAAUGAAUGCUUGUGAAAGAGUUGGUGGAUGCAAAAGGGUGGUGGAGUUGUAUAUGAAAGAAUGCUGCUGUGUGUUGCAGAGUUUUCAGAAAGCAGAAAGGAAUGUCCAAAAGAAAAACAAAGGCAUAGGAAAUGCCAGGGUGGUUAACAACUCUUUAAAGCUAAAGGGGAAGAAGUAAGCACCCCCUCACCUCACCUUACCACCUUUUCUUCCCUCUCAGUCCCAUGUACUUUUUUUUUCUCCUUCCACGACAGAUGCUGACUUGGCACCAACAGAAGCCCCAGAAAAAAAUGUGUCACAAAAAAUAAUUAUUCAAAUAUUCAAUUCAUGUGUCUGCUGCCUGCAACAUGAUCACACAGAUGGGGCCAUGUUGCUUAAGCCAUACGUAGAAUGAGCCACCGUCCUCCAGCUGAUAAUUUUGAAUAAUUUGUUUUUUGUUGCUUCAUCAUAAUUUUGGUUUUAAAUAGUUUUGUUAUGGAUUGGUCAAGUGUGUAUUAUUUGGUAUUAUGGUGAGUAGUACUAGUACUGGUAGCAUACACAGCUGGUGUUACUUGUCAUAUUUCAUUGUUAUAGUAAUUACAAUCCUCUA